rnacentral:rRNA from 1 species
UACGUAGGGUGCGAGCGUUAAUCGGAAUUACUGGGCGUAAAGCGUGCGCAGGCGGUUCGUUGUGUCGGUGGUGAAAUCCCCGGGCUUAACCUGGGAAUGGCCAUGGAAACUGGCGAACUGGAGUGCGGCAGAGGGGGGUGGAAUUCCGCGUGUAGCAGUGAAAUGCGUAGAUAUUGGGUGGAACACCGGUGGCGAAAGCGGCUCUCGUGGUCCGGACCUGACGCUGAGGCGCGAAAGCGUGGGGAGCAAACAGG